GCUUAUUUGCUCAAUCCACACUAUAGCUUUACUAACCCAUCAAUCUUUGAUGAGCCCAAAAUGAAUGAAGCAUUUAUAGCUUGUGUUGAGCAAUUUUAUUAUCAUGACGAGGACAAGUACGAUCAAGCUGCCAACAUUGAAUUGAAAAGUUUCAAAAUAGAGAAGGAGCAUUUAGCAAGAAGCUAGCAAGGACUUUUGAAAACUUUGAUUACAAUCCAGCCUCAUGGUGGAGGUUGUAUGGAAGCCACACACCAGCUUUACAGAAGAUGGCUACAAGGAUCUUAUCUUUGACAUCAAGUGCUUCUGGUUGUGAAAGAAAUUGGAGUGGAUUUGAAGGGAUACACACUAAGAAGAGGA